AGGUGAUUUAAGGGAGAGCUUAUGGGACCAAAACCAGGAGUUCUUAACUCUGUGGCCUAAGACUGAGUUUCUCUAUAGGAUGCAAUAGACACUCAAUGGUGCUGUGUUUUCCUGAGGAGAUACAAGA